AUGGCAGAGGAACAACAGCCGCCACCACAGCAGCCUGAUGCCCAUCAGCAGCUUCCCCCCAGCGCCCCCAACUCGGGGGUGGCCCUGCCAGCCCUUGUGCCUGGGCUGCCAGGGACAGAGGCCAGCGCGCUGCAACACAAGAUCAAGAACUCCAUCUGCAAAACUGUACAAUCUAAAGUGGACUGCAUUUUGAAAGAAGUUGAGAAUUUUACAGACCUAGAGAAAUUCUACCUCUACCUUCAGCUGCCUUCUGGUCUCAGCAAUGGAGAGAAAAGUGAUCAGAAUGCCGUGUCAUCUAGUCGGGCACAGCAAAUGCAUGCCUUUUCCUGGAUUCGAAAUACCCUAGAAGAACAUCCUGAGACUUCAUUGCCCAAACGGGAAGUCUAGGAUGAGUACAAGAGCUACUGUGACAAUCUUGGUUACCAUCCAUUAAGCGCUGCUGACUUUGGAAAGAUCAUGAAAAAUGUCUUUCCAAACAUGAAGGCACGUCGUCUGGGCACAAGAGGCAAAUCUAAAUAUCGCUACAGUGGACUAAGGAAAAAAGCCUUUGUUCAUAUGCCAACACUGCCCAAUCUUGAUUUUCACAAAACUGGAGAUGGCUGGAAGGAACUGAACCUUCUGGGCAGCUUCAAAAUAUUGAUGAGGAAGUUAUCUCUUCUGCUUGCCGUCUCGUGUGUGAACGGGCCCACAAAGUGUUAAGCCAGCCAUUCGACACGGUCUUGGAGUUAGCACGCCUCCUUGUAAAAAGUCAUUACAUAGGCACCAAGUCGAUGGCACAGCUCUAACAGUAAUGGCAGCAGCACUACCAGGAAUUAAAGGAAUUACCCCGCCGUCCGCUUUUAUACCUACAGCUGAGAGUAAUUCUUUUCAGCCUCAAGUGAAGACUUUGCCCUCUCCUAGUGAUGCUAAACAGCAAUUGCAACGGAAAAUUCAGAAGCAGCAGCAAGAACAGAAACUACGGUCCCCUUCGCCAGGAGAAUCCUCAGGCAAAAAAGCAGGAGGCGCUACAACCAAUGGAGUGACUCAUCUUUCUAAUGGAAAUCCUGCAACCCUUUCUCCUCAGCCUAUUGGUAUCCUUUUGGCGGCUGUCCCUAGUCCCAUUCCGGUCCAGAGGACCAGGCAGUUGGUAACUUCACCAAGUCCAAUGAGUUCUUCUGACGGCAAAGUUCUCCCCCUCAAUGUACAAGCGGUCACUCAGCGCAUGCAGUCUGUGAAACAGGCACCAAAGGCUCCUCAGAACGUUCCAGCCAGUCCUGGUGGGGAUCGUUCUGCCCGGCACCGCUACCCUCAGAUCUUACCCAAACCAGCCAACGCCAGUGCACUCACCAUUCGCUCCCCAACUACUGUCCUCUUUAUUAGCAGUCCCAUCAAAACCGCUGUUGUACCCACUUCACACAUGAGUUCUCUAAAUGUGGUGAAAAUGACAGCAAUAUCCCUCACGCCCAGCAACAGUAGUGCCCCUCUUAAACAUUCUGCCUCAGUGAACAGUGCUACAGGAACAACAGAAGAAUCAAGGACCAUUCCACAGAUCAAGAAUGGUUCUGUUGUUUCACUUCAGUCUCCUGGAUCCAGGACCAGCAGCACCGGGGGAGCAUCUGCCGUGGAAGUCAAAAUGGAACCUGAAACAUCAUCAGAUGAGCAUCCUGUACAGUGCCAAGAGAAUUGUGAUGGGACUAAAGCUCCCAAAACAACACCUAGUGCCCUUUUGGGGCAGGAAAGUAAUACGGAUGGAGUAGUGCAAAAACCUUCAAAUGAAGGUGUCACUGAAGCAAAAGCAACCAAGGUCUGUGACCGGAGGACCAAAUGUAAAAGCCGCUGUACUGAAACUCUGCCAGGCGCUUCGACAGGCAAUAAUCCAAGCACUGUCACCCUCUCAGUUGCCGCUCAGAACUUAACUUUCACCAGCACCAGCUCACCAGCUAAUGGUGACUCAAUAAAUAAAGACCCUAAAUUAUGCACUAAAAGUCCAAGAAAGCUACUGUCUUCUGCAUUGCAAGAGUCCCAGGUGCCUCCCAUAAAGAAACCAAUUGUGGAACAGCUUUCUGCAGUUAUCCUAGAAGGUCAGAAACCAGGCAGUGUUGAGAAGGACCAAAAGGUUCCACAUUCAGGGAAAAUAGAAAGUUCAACAGCCGGUGCUCAGAUUCCUAGCAAGGUAUCAAUGAAUGUCAGUUCGCACAUAGUGGCAAAUCGACUCUUGAGUUCUUCUGCUCUCAUUGCCGGUGAUUCAGCUUCAGAACAGCAAACACCAUCAUCAUCUCCAGAUAUAAAAGUAAAACUUGAAGGGAAUGUCUUUCUUUUGGACAGUGAUUCAAAACCAGAUGGCAGCUUUAAUUCAAAUGAAUGGCAGCAGGUCAGUAAGGAUUCUGAGUUUAUAUCUGCCGGCUGUGAACAACAGCCAGAUAUCAGUGUUAUGACAGUUCCUGAGCACUCUGAUAUCAACGACUUAGAGAAAUCUGUUUGGGAAUUGGAAGGAAUGCCACAGGACACUUAUACCCAGCAGCUGCAUAGCCAGAUACAAGAAUCUUCUUUGAAUCAAAUACAAGCACAGUCUUCAGAUCAGUUACCUCUACAGUCUGAACUGAAAGAGUUUGAGCCUUCUGUUUCCCAAACAAAUGAAAGCUACUUUCCUUUUGAUGAUGAGCUUACACAAGAUAGUAUUGUGGAAGAGCUGGUGCUUAUGGAGCAGCAAAUAUCAAUGAACAAUUCUCAUUCUUACAGUAACUGUUUGGGAAUGACCCUUCAGAGUCAGUCAGUAACUCCAGGAGCUCCAAUAUCAUCUCAUGCCUCCAGUACCCACUUCUAUCAUCCAAUCCACAGCAAUGGCACUCCGAUCCACACACCCACACCCACUCCUACCCCAACCCCAACCCCAACCCCAACCCCAACUCCAACAUCAGAAAUGAUUGCUGGGUCUCAGAGUCUGUCACGGGAGAGCCCUUGCUCCAGGCUAGCCCAGACCACACCUGUGGAUAGUGCUUUAGGAAGUAGCCGACACACACCCAUUGGUAGUCCACAUUCUAACUGCAGCAGUAGUGUCCCUCCCAGCCCUGUUGAAUGCAGGAAUCCAUUUGCAUUUGCCCCAAUAAGCUCCAGUAUGGCGUAUCAUGAUGCCAGCAUUAUCUCAAGUAGUCCUGUGAAACCGAUGCAAAGACCCAUGGCCACACACCCUGACAAAACCAAGCUUGAAUGGAUGAAUAAUGGGUAUAGUGGGGUUAGUAAUUCAUCAGUUUCUGGCCAUGGCAUUCUCCCAAGCUAUCAGGAACUAGUGGAAGACCGUUUCAGGAAACCUCAUGCUUUUGCUGUGCCUGGACAGUCUUACCAGUCUCAAUCCAGACAUCAUGACACUCAUUUCGGUCGCUUGACUCCUGUCUCUCCUGUGCAGCAUCAAGGUGCCACUGUAAAUAACACCAACAAACAGGAGGGUUUUGCAGUCCCUGCCCCUCUUGAUAAUAAAGGGACUAAUUCAUCUGCCAGCAGCAACUUCAGAUGCCGGAGUGUGAGCCCUGCUGUUCAUCGCCAACGUAAUCUUAGUGGAAGCACCCUGUACCCUGUAUCUAAUAUCCCCCGAUCUAAUGUGACCCCCUUUGGAAGUCCAGUAACCCCAGAGGCUCACGUUUUCACAAAUGUUCACACAGAUGCGUGUGCCAACAACAUAGCUCAAAGAAGUCAAUCAGUUCCAUUGAUGGUCAUGAUGCAGACAGCCUUCCCGAAUGCUCUUCAGAAGCAAACAAACAGUAAAAAAAUAACCAGUGUCUUGUUGAGUAAACUUGAUUCUGACAAUGAUGACUCAGUGAGAGGUUUGGGCGUGAACAACCUGCCCUCCAAUUACACAGCCCGGAUGAAUCUCACUCAGAUUUUGGAGACUUCCACUGUUUUUCCUAGUGCCAAUCCGCAGAAUAUG